rnacentral:piRNA from 1 species
UAUUACAUUUGUUUAUUUGGGGAAGG